AUGGAUGUACCUGGACUUCCUGGACGACUGGCAUGCAAGCUGGAUGACGCAACGCAGAGGACCGAGAAAACAUCUGGGAUGUGUGGGUGUGUCUGGGCCCUCUCGAUUUGGAGUUGGGAGCGGCUGCCGCUUGGUUGCCCUGAGAAACAGCCACGGACAGAGUGGAUGGAGGAUGGCGACAGUGCUCGAUACCCUACCGUCGCCUACUCUUGGGACACGGUUAAAGUCUUCUUGGGCAAGGGAAGUGCGAUGUACAAGGCCUUCACCAACGAGCUGGACAACCUGACAUCUUUUCAGGUUAACUGGUGGUCGUACCACGAUAGAGCUUGGGGGUUCGAGCUGAAUGAGAUGUGCGAGCAGGACCGCCUUCUCUUCCGGUGCAUUGUCCCGCUGAUAUGCGUGUAUGCCGUCGAAUGGCACCUACCACAGCGCGUGGCCACACAAUUUGGCGUAUUGCAACACACACCACCGGCAAGGCCCCACGACACUGGCGGUUACGACCUUCACAAGAAGAGCAGGCAGUAUUCUCAGUCGAUAGUGGACUGGGCUGACGAGCACAAGUCUUUUGUGACAAUGUGGGAGGAGAGGACGUUCCACAAAGACAGGGAGAGGUCAGGCAUUUGUUGGAAUGUGUAUGAGAGGCGCAUGAAUUGGUAUGACGAUGGCAUCAAGUUUCGUCUGCGUCUGAGGCCACGAUGA
rnacentral:rRNA from 1 species